UCCAAGUUUGUGACUUUUUUUUUUAGAUGUUUUAAUCAUAUGCAACACUGUGUUAAUUAUAAAAAGCUUUUAGCAUUUCAGAUUUCAAAUAUGAGAACAGCCGUUGUCAUGCGUGUGCUCGUAGUGGCAUGAGGAAAUGAUUGUGUUUCAGAUAGUUAAUGACUUUAUAGCAUUUUUCCAGGUAGAGAAGUCCUCGAGAGAGUGGUUCUACAGUUACUUGUAGACAGGAUAUCAAAAAUUAAUAAGUGGAGCCAAGAGAGAGUGUGCACAUGCAAAAAUCCAUAAUAUCUCAAAAGAUUAUUUUCCCUUGAAUCUCAUUCAGUUGCUGAAUGAAACAAAUCUGGUGGCAGUGUAGAAGCCAAGAACAAAAACUGACAGAAGUUACUUUUCUCUUUAAGAAAAUGAAGAGAGCGUACACAUGACUAAGCACAGGAACCUGAAAAACCACAGAGGAUGAAGGUUUGAGCUGAAGUCUCUGGCAAGUGAAAAUUCCAGAUGGAAUAGACAAAGAGUAAGAAGAUGGAAGAAUAUAGGACACAACUGAAGAGUGUGUGUUUGGAGACAUACAACAAGACGCCCUAGUCAAGGUAAUACUGGGACAGCUGGAGCCCCACUCAGAAGAAGAGAAAAUAAAAUGUAUCUCCAUCUCAAUUCUGUGCAUAGGUCACCGAUGCUAAUUUAAUGGGAUAGCUAUUCCAUGUGAGGGGCCCACCUGUUGUGGGUGGUGGUAAUUCCAGAGCCUAACUCAUAGUACACUUUCCUGAAAUAGGCACUAAAGCAGAAGGAAAAAUACAGCCUUUAGCCAUGACACAGCACUGAAAAGCAUCCUUGCUUAAUGAACAUAUGUAAAGCUACAGCAAGUUAAAGUGUACCACCUAAAAUGUUGACCUAGAGACAUCUUGGUAGAUAAUGGAAUAAUCAGUGAAGAAAAGGAAAGUACUGAAAGGGACAAGUGGCAAGUGAUCCUGAUCUGUGACUCCUUGGUGACAGCCUGACAGAGCCAUGCCCUCAGAACAGGGGAAAUCUGCUCUUUUCCUUGUAUGUGUUCAAGUUUACAGAUUUGACAAACAGAGCAAAUAUUGUUCUGAAGAAGUCUGAGAAAUUUCCUUUUAUUGUAGCUGCUUAUUUACUAGAACUGGUAACAUUUUUUCAACCAACAAGAUUUUUGUCAAAAAAUAGCGUUUUCUGAAAAUAGAAUUUUUUUUAUGCAACAUA